rnacentral:rRNA from 1 species
AUCAACGCUGGCGGCGCGCCUAACACAUGCAAGUCGAGCGAGAAAGGGAGCAAUCCUGAGUAAAGCGGCGUACGGGUGAGUAACACGUGGAUCAUCUGCCCUUUUGUGGGGAAUAACUUUGGGAAACCGAAGCUAAUACCGCAUAAGUCCGAGAGGAGAAAGCAGCAAUGCGCAGAAGGAGGAGUCCGCGGCCGAUUAGCUAGUUGGUGAGGUAAUGGCUCACCAAGGCUUCGAUCGGUAGCCGGCCUGAGAGGGCACACGGCCACACUGGCACUGAGACACGGGCCAGACUCCUACGGGAGGCAGCAGUGGGGAAUCUUGCACAAUGGGGGAAACCCUGAUGCAGCGACGCCGCGUGAGCGAUGAAGCCCUUCGGGGUGUAAAGCUCUUUCGACGGGAACGAUAAUGACGGUACCCGGAGAAGAAGCUGCGGCUAACUACGU